rnacentral:rRNA from 1 species
UACGAAGGGGGCUAGCGUUGUUCGGAAUCACUGGGCGUAAAGCGCACGUAGGCGGAUUUGUCAGUCAGGGGUGAAAUCCCGGGGCUCAACCCCGGAACUGCCUUUGAUACAGCAAGUCUCGAGUCCGGAAGAGGUGGGUGGAAUUCCUAGUGUAGAGGUGAAAUUCGUAGAUAUUAGGAAGAACACCAGUGGCGAAGGCGGCCCACUGGUCCGGCACUGACGCUGAGACGCGAAAGCGUGGGGAGCAAACAGG